rnacentral:rRNA from 1 species
CUCGUAGGCGGCCAACUAAGUCGGACGUGAAAUCCCUCGGCUUAACCGGGGAACUGCGUCCGAUACUGGAUGGCUGGAGUUCGGGAGAGGGAUGCGGAAUUCCAGGUGUAGCGGUGAAAUGCGUAGAUAUCUGGAGGAACACCGGUGGCGAAGGCGGCAUCCUGGACCGACACUGACGCUGAGGAGCGAAAGCCAGGGGAGCAAACG